rnacentral:lncRNA from 1 species
CGCCCGCCGCGCGCUUCGCUCGGCCCGCUCGGAGCCACUCCUCACAUAGUACAGGCAACGUCGGCAACCGGCCGUUGCGCCUCGCCGCCGGCCCGCGCGAAGCGGCGGCCGCCGCGCCUCGUCUGCGGAAGCGCGGCGGCCCGCCUCGACACUUGGAGCAUUCACGCUAGUAGGGUUCGGUUCGGAUGAGUUGGGGGGACUGAGGACCGGCGGGCGGACCGCUCCACGGCCGAGGACGGUCGCGCUCGAGCCUCGCCGGGGCCUCGCCGGGUGGGUGGGUCCGAGGCGGCCGGCCCGCUUCGGCACUUAGGAAUUACGCGCGAAGACGACCGACGACCGGCGGGAGACGGUCACGCUCGAGCCCCUGGGGCGGGACUCGGCGGAUCCGGCGAUCCGUGCCGCUCGGGUCCCGGGGACCGGAGUCGGCGGCACGACCGCUGCCCGCGAAGGCUCGGGCGCCGGGCGGGAGAUAACUUCUGGCAGCGCGAAGGGUCCCGUCCAGACGACAGGACGGACCGUUCGGGCACGUAGUCGGAGCGUCCGGGCCGCCGCGAUUCCGCCGGCGCCGGGCGCCCGGUCCGACCCGGCGUGCGCCCGGCCCCCUUCGGGACUUGGACGAACGGCGUUGGGGGAAAGGCCGCGAUCCGACAUGCCGGGCGGCCCCCGUCGGGACUCCGGACCGGACUCGCGGCCCGAGCCGCGGGGAACAACAUCUGGCAGCGCGAAGGGUCCCGUCCGGACGACAGGACGGACCGUUCGGGCGUGUGGGGAGGGGAGGACCCUCGCCGCCCGCGCGGAGCGAGCGGCGAGGAGAGGAGAACAACGUCUGACCGCGCGGAGGGUCCUGUCUAGACGACAAGACGGACCGUCCGGGCGUGAGGUUGGUCUCAUCGGAUCGCGGAAACGAUGUCCGCUCUCGCGAAUUAAUACGCCUCUCCCGAGAACCAAGUCGUUUACGAAUGGUCCGGGCGUGCUGGUUGGUCUCAUCGGAUCGCGGAAACGAUGUCCGCUCUCGCGAAUUAAUACGCCUCCCCGGGACCAAGUCCGUUUACGAACUGGCAGUGCUGCUGCCUUGGCUUAUGCCUUAAUCGCGGCCGCCGCUAUCGGGCCCAGGGUUCCGCGCCCGGCCGCGGCAAGUGCGAGCUUGUGGCUUUAUCGCACCGCGGCCGUGCGGCGCGGCCCUAUCGUCCGCGUCGGCGAUACGGCUGCCCGGCGCGCGGGACGCCGCCGGCCGCCGAGACGAACCGGAGCGGCCGCGCCAGGGAUCCGGCCGCGCCCGGAAGCGCGAGCCGAUUCCGUUGCCUGUCCGGCAGAGGGGACGGUGACCGGGACCGCGCGGGCGCCCCGAGAGACGCCCGACGACCCCGGGGAACCCCCCGGGGGAACCGUCUGUUUCCUCGCCCGUACGGUUAGUACUGUCCUCGCUUUCCGCUUCGAAUAGGCGAACCCUCUCGGGGAACCGCGCCUCUGCGUUCCGAGACUCGGUACAGGGUCCCGCUUCAGACGUGUCAGGUGGGCCCUCCGGACGUAGUCGUGCACCACGUCCGAUCGGGCGGUGCGGUCCAGAGGUCCGGCACCGUUCCUCUCGUACUCGUGUGCCAUACCGUCGCGAGACGACGUCAUCAGUAGGGUAAAACUAACUGUCCACGACGGUCUAACCCAGCUCACGUUCCCUGUCGGUCGGUGACAAUCGCACGCUCGGGGCGUUGUCCGACGUAUGAUAGGAAGAGCCGCAUGAAGGAUCAAAAAGCGACGUCGCUAUGAACGCUGGCCGCCACAAGCCGUUCCCUGUGUAACUUUUCUGACACCUCUCGCCGGAACCUCUCGGCGGAGAGGAUCGACUGGCCGCGCGCUUGCGGUACCCGCGCUUACUGAACGUCGGUAUCAAGCCGGCUUUUGCCCAUUUGCUCGACUCGAGGUUUCCGUCCUCGGUGAGCCGGCCUUAGGACACCUGCGUUAUCCUUGACAGAUGUACCGCCCCAGUCAAACUCCCCGCCUGGCGCUGUCCUCGGCCCGGAUCGCGGCUUAGGGCCGCCGACCCCGACGGGGCGGGACCGAUCGCCCGAAGGCUCACGGCCGCCGACACCCGCGAACCGGGGGGCGACCGCUUCAGCGCCGCUUGACGCCAAUAGGAAACAGACGCUCGAUUUUGAUCACCGGCGCCCCGCCGCGGACGCGAAGUCACAACGGACGGGUGCGGACACGGUGCGAGCGCGUACCGCUUCACCGAGUAAGUGCGGAGGCUAUGGGAGUAGUGGUAUUUCAUCGUUGACCCCGCGAACGGACCGCGGUUAGCGGCCGCGUUCGUGAUCGGGACCUCCCACUUAUGCUACGCCUCGCAUGUCUCCGUACAGCACCGGACUAGAGUCAAGCUCAACAGGGUCUUCUUUCCCGCUGAUAGUGUCCCAAGCCCGUUCCCUUGGCUGGGUUUUUUUUUUUUUUUUUUUUAUUAUUUUUUUUUUUUUUUUUUUGACGCAUGCCGAGGCGUUUAGCAACCCGAAAAUAGCCAAAGUCACUCCUGCCGUUCACCCGCGGAGACUUAAAAAAAAUAAAAAAUGAAAAAAAAAAAAAAAAAAAAAAAAAAAAAAUCCUUGGUUAGGAGAUGGGGACAGAGGGAAUCUCGUCGAUCCGUUCGUGCGCGUCGCUAAUCGCAUGCCGAGGCGUUUAGCAACCCGAAAAUAGCCAAAGUUACUCCUGCGUUCACCCGCGGUGACUUAAAAAAAAUAAAAAAUGAAAAAAAAAAAAAAAAAAAAAAAAAAAAAAAAAAAAAAAAAAAAACAACGUCCGGCAUGGGUUGGAGAGAAAAAAAAUGAAAAGGGGGGGAAAAAAAAAAAAAAAAAAACAACGUUCCGGGGGUGCCAGAAGAGAACGGGUUAAGCCCUCAAGAGGAGAUGACGGGGAGCGAAGAGCACGGACAUAAGCGAGUGCCCGGGUCGCCGUCCGAGGGACGGGCCCUUGCCGGCGGUGGCGGGGUGGCCGCGGCUUCCCCGUCGGCCCGCCUCGGCACUUAGGAAAAUGAUGCGCGACAGCCGCCGGAGAGACGGUCGCGCUCGAGCCCCGCCGGGGCCGCGCCGGGUGGGAGGGGUCGUGGUCGUCGACCCGCUUCGGCACUUAGCAGAAUAACGCGCGGCGGCCGCCGGAGCGACGACGACCGAGGACCGGCGCGC